AUACGGAGGGUCCAAGCGUUAUCCGGAAUCAUUGGGUUUAAAGGGUCCGCAGGCGGUCAAUUAAGUCAGAGGUUAAAGCCCAUCGCUCAACGAUGGAACUGCCUUUGAUACUGGUUGACUUGAGUUAUACGGAAGUAGAUAGAAUAAGUAGUGUAGCGGUGAAAUGCAUAGAUAUUACUUAGAAUACCGAUUGCGAAGGCAGUCUACUACGUAUAUACUGACGCUGAGGGACGAAAGCGUGGGGAGCGAACAGGAUUAGAUACCCUAGUAGUCC
rnacentral:rRNA from 1 species